CUACGGGCCGCUGCAGUGGGGAAUAUUGCGCAAUGGAGGAAACUCUGACGCAGCCAUGCCGCGUGAGUGAAGAAGGCCUUAGGGUUGUAAAGCUCUUUCAGAUGCGAUGAUGAUGACAGUAGCAUCAAAAGAAGUUCCGGCUAACUUCGUGCCAGCAGCCGCGGUAAUACGAAGGGAACUAGCGUUGUUCGGAUUUACUGGGCGUAAAGAGCACGUAGGCGGAUUGGUCAGUUGGGGGUGAAAGCCCGGAGCUCAACUCCGGAACUGCCUUCAAUACUACCAAUCUAGAGUCCGUAAGGGGGUGGUGGAACUCCGAGUGUAGAGGUGAAAUUCGUAGAUAUUCGGAGGAACACCAGUGGCGAAGGCGACCACCUGGUACGGUACUGACGCUGAGGUGCGAAAGCGUGGGGAGCAAACAGGAUUAGAUACCCGGGUAGUC
rnacentral:rRNA from 1 species